rnacentral:rRNA from 1 species
UACGUAGGGGGCAAGCGUUUGUCCGGAAUCAUUGGGCGUAAAGGACGCGUAGGUGGCCCGGUCAGUUCGUGGUGAAAGCGCGGGGCUCAACCCUGCGUCGGCCAUGAAUACUGCCGCGGCUGGAGCACUGUAGAGGCAGGCGGAAUUCCGGGUGUAGCGGUGGAAUGCGUAGAGAUCCGGAAGAACACCGGUGGCGAAGGCGGCCUGCUGGGCAGUUGCUGGACACUGAGGCGCGACAGCGUGGGGAGCAAACAGG